rnacentral:rRNA from 1 species
GACGAACGCUGGCGGCGUGGAUUAGGCAUGCAAGUCGAACGGUAUCAUCCUUUCGGGGGUGAGAGAGUGGCGAACUGGUGAGUAACACGUAGGUUAUCUACCCUCAAGACGGGGACAACCCAGGGAAACUUGGGCUAAUACCGGAUGUGAGCAACUUUUAGUUGUUUGAAAGGUGGCGUAAGCUGUCGCUUGGGGAUGAGCCUGCGUCCUAUUAGUUAAUUGGUGAGGUAACGGCUCACCUAGGCAAUGAUAGGUAGGCGGCCUUAACGGGUGGUCGCCCACACUGGGAUUGAGAUACGGCCCAGACUCCUACGGGAGGCAGCAGUCGAGAAUAGUCUACAAUGGUCGGAAGACUGAUAGUGCGACGCCGCGUGAACGAUGAAUCCCUUCGGGGUGUAAAGUUCUUUUAUAUGUGAGCAGUGCUUCUUAUAUUAACAGUAUGGGGAGAGAGAUAUUAGCAUAUGAAUAAGCAACGGCUAACUCCGUGCCAGCAGCCGCGGUAAUA